UGCUAUGUGAAUGCCCUGAUCCCCAACAAAUUUUGAUCCAGCAAUUUUUAGCAUGUGCGGAUGCUGCUUGCCUGAAUCAGUUAUCACUGAGGAGGUGGUUUAACUGGCUUACAAGGUGCUUUGGGUUGGGGGAAGACCUUCAUCCUAAUCAUUCCUCAAGGUCCUUCCAUGAGCCAAAGAACAGAAACUCCCCCCAAGCCUGUUUGCCUUCUGGGCAUGCCCUGCCAGCUGGGAAUCCCCUCCUCUAGUCAGGGGUUUGAUCCUUGGGAGAGACUGAGAGGAUGGAAAAACCAUUAGUUUCAUUUGCUAGAAGAGGAAGCUGAGGCCCAGGGAGAGGAGAGAAGUGGCCUAAGUGGAAUAGCUCCUCCCGAGGAGUCUCUGGGCUCCAUGGACGAGGCUGAGCGUUUGGGAAGGAGACUUCCGGGCAGAAUAACGGGCAAGGUUUCUGGGUCCAGGUUGGGGCUCUCUGACCCCUGACAGCCCCCCUCCCCGGUCCCUGUUAUCUGUGUAAGAUCUGGGUUGCCAGAUUUCGCAGAUAAAAAUAUAGGGUGCCUGGUUAAAUUUGAAUUUUAGUUGAACAGUGAACUUUUUUUUAGUAGUUAAGUAUGUCCCAGUUGCUGCACCAAAAAUUACACUAAAACCUCAUGAUGUCUAGGAUGUUUGGACUGACACUCGGGUUGCCAAGUAAGAUACAGGACAUCCAGUUCAAUUUUAAUUUCAGGGUACCGAUGAAUAAUUUUUAAACUCAGAUGUAGGGAAUAAAAGCAUGUGUGGCAGGUGUUAUCAGACGCAAGAAAUGAGGCAGGUGACAUUGGUGGGCCUUGAAUGCUGGGAUGAGCUGCCCUUCUGUCAGAGUAGAUGACAGCCCUGGAAGAAGGGACUUGAGCUUGGAAGGCCCUUGCCAGAUAGUUCUAGAAAGGUCCCUCUGGGGGCAUCUGGCUGGCUCAGUUGGUAGAGCAUGCGACUGUCGAUCUCGGGUCGUGAGUCCAAGCCCUAAAGAGAAAGCUUCCUCUGGCUGUGGGAGGCGGGGAGUGUGGGCAGAGGCGAGCAAGACUGAAGGUCAAGGACCAAUCAGGGGGCAGCUGCAGUGACCAGUGACAUGCCAUAAGGUUCAGACGAAUGCUCAGGGGAUGUAAAGAGCGUUCAGGGGGCAGGACCUAUGGGGCCUGAGGCCCACCAGCUCAGGAAGGUGGGCAGGAGGCCUCUGGCCUGGCAUGAGCGGGGUACGUGCUUAGACGUGGAACUGCGUGGGCAAAGAAAGAGCAAAGUUCAAAGCUUCCUGGCAACACGGCCAGACUGCCAGAUGGCACGUCGUGUGAGCAGCAGGGGGAGGGGCAGAGAAAGAGGGAGAGAGAGAAUCCCAAGAAGGCUCCGCACUGUCAGCGCAGAACCCAAUGCAGGGCUGAAACCCGAGAACUGGGAGAUCAUGACCUGAGCCGAAAUCAAGAGUCAGAAGCUUAACCAACUGAGCCACCCAGGCUCCCCUCAUUUGACAAUUUCUUUGAGGACCAAUCACACCCCUAGUCCCUGUGAGAUCUGAGGGCAUAUGGCGGGGAACAGGCUAGGACUCCCUCAAGGAGCUGCAAAGUUCCCUGUUUACUACUUGGGUGACCUAGAGCUUGGCCUCUCCGAGUCUCAGUUUCAUCAUCGGUAAAAUGGCUACAAUAACGAUGUGCUCCUAAUGGUGUUCUUGAGAGGAUCCAAUCAGAUCAUCUACACUCUGGGAGGAAGCUUCUAUGCACCUGUACACUCGAGCGAGAGUUAUGCCCCACCUCUCCACGUUCAGGGCAGCUGCAUAAGUUAUUUGGAAUUCUUCUAUCUGCGAGAUUUGUCUCCUCUCCCCUUUUCAUUUAUUUAUUCAACCAUUGAUUUAUAACAGUAUGGACUUGUGGCUAUAUUUUUAUUUAAAAAAAAGUUUUUCAUGUUUAUUUAUCUCUGAGAGAGGGAGCGGGGAAGGGGCGGAAAGAGAGGGAGACACAGAAUCUGAAGCAGGUUCCAGGCUCUGAGCUGUCAGCAGAGAGCCCAAUGCGGGGCUCGAACCUACAAACUGCGAGAUCAUGACCUGAGCCGAAGUCAGGUGCUUAACCGACUGAGCCACCCAGGCGACCCUCAUGGCUAUAUUUUUAAACAAAUUUUCCUACUUUGGGUUAUCGUCCAAUUCUCUCCUUCUUUCUUUGGCCAUUGGUAACUCUUUCAGUUGGCCCGCGUCCCUUUAGCACAGCAUUGUGUGUGUUUAAACAUUUCCUUGGUUCCUGGUGCUACAGGGUGCCCCAGGCUUAUUUCCUAUAAAUCCUUCCCCAGGCUUAGAAUCAGCCAUUUCUCCAAGGAGCUUUGGUUCCUCUUUCUGAAGAAUGGCAUUAGAAACCAAGGUCUGGCUGAAGAACAUUCUGUUGCUUGGAUAUAUGGUCUAUUUAUCCAUUCAUCUGUAUAUGGAUAUUUAGGUC